GAUCGGUCGACUAUAUCCUAUAGCUGCUAUAUAACUGAUUGAUCGGAAAUUUCUUAAGUUAAGUGUUUUUCGACCUAGAGGGUUGGGACUUUCCACACAUGUUAAAUGUGUCCAAGAUAUCUUAUCUGCAAAAUUUCAUAGCUUUCCUUUCUUGUUUAUCUUCAUUUUAAAAUUUAUGGUCAUAAAAAGUUAUAUUGACAUACUAACAUCAAAGAAUUGCACAUUAUUUAAUGAACCAUAUUAUUUCCAUCAUAAAUUUGUGUUUUUACAUACAUAUGUAUGUAUGUACAUCAGCAACCAAAUUUCGCGUAGUUAGUGUGCGUCGAGUGUAUGUUAAAAUAACGUAAGUCGAAACGGUCACAUUGGGUUCAUAAUAGUGCGUCGUAUUUGUUUAUUAUUGUGAAAUGUUCUGUCAGUAGUAGGAUUUGGAACGUCUUGAAUUAAAUCAGAAACAUUCGUUUCCCUGUGGCCAGAGCAAGAGGCCGAAAUUGAUCGAAUUUAUUGCAGCUUUUAUUAAAUUGUUUUUUCUUAUCUUUUCAGUUUUAGUUGCCUUUAUUUUUUUAGUUUUAUUUUAGAAUAAAAAUUUUAUAUGUAGUUUUCAGAUUGACUAAUAAAAAGAAAAACAAUAUCAAAAAAUUCUUUUCUUUCAUAACAAUUUCCCUGUCGCCUAUCGGUUGCUUUUUCUCGGGCAAAGCUGCUUACGGGUUGCAUCCUAGGCGCUCGCGAUUUGAUGAACAUUUAGCACGUUCCCGGCCGCGCCAAUGUAAUUUGGAAUAAUUCUUUUCCUAUGUUCGGAGGCAGGGGCAUCCGCUAAUUCAGUACGCUGUCGAAAAAUUAAAUUAAAAUAAAAAUUCAUUAGAUUGAUUUUAUCCAAA